AAAAGAGUGCAGACAGCAGAAGACAAAAAGAACUACAAUCCGGCAACCUGUGGAACAAAAACCACAUUCACAGAAAGAUAGACAAGAUGAAAAGGCAGAGGGCUAUGUACCAGAUGAAGGAACAAGAUAAAACCCAAGAAAAACAACUAAAUGAAGUGGAGAUAGGAAA